CUAAGAUUGAAGCAUUUAUUUGAUAAUAAAUACGAAAUGAUAAGUGAAUGCCACAUCUGGAAGGGGGGGGAAACUCCCAAGUGUCUAUGGUGUUCUGCGGUGUAGUUUCCGUGGCAAAAGGCUAAGGCUUAAAGCUCACCAUGCACUAUAUUAUCUUGAAAAUAAACAUGCCAUGUCAUCAAAAAUGCAUGUGUCACAUUUAUGCCACAGUAAACUUUGUGUCAACAUCAAGCACUUAAGUUAUGGGCCUCAAAGCAUUAACAAAAGGAAAAUAUGUGCUCAUGAAGGUUCCUUAUGCACUUGAAAAUGUUUCCAAGCUGUGUCUUGUUUACAAUGAUGUUCUCAUAGUCAGAUAUAUUUGCCCACUGUUUCCAAUUGUAGCACUUUGAUUUUCAGACUGUGGUACUGUUUGAUGUGGUCGCAGUUUAAUAGGGAGAACGAGUGGACCCCGAGAACGAUUACACGCAUUCAAGACAUCGUUAGCCACAGAAUCACCCAAUCGCACUACACUUUCCAGACUGUGGUACUGUUUGAUGUGGUCGCAGUUUAAUAGGGAGAACGAGUGGACCCCGAGAACGAUUACACGCGUUCAAGACAUCGUUAGCCACAGAAUCACCCAAUCGCACUACACUUUCCAGACUGUGGUACUGUUUGAUGUGGUCGCAGUUUAAUAGGGAGAACGAGUGGACCCCGAGAACGAUUACACGCAUUCAAGACAUCGUUAGCCACAGAAUCACCCAAUCGCACUACACUUUCCAGGUCAGGGUCUGAAUUCAACGGAAUAGAAUCUUGAACUUGUUUCUCUACACAGGGCACAUGCCUGCAGAAACUUUAUAGUUUGGAAAUACUCCUUUUUUGAAAAGUACACCUUUGUUUUUCCUAGCGUGAUUGUUUUUAUAACUGUGCUGUGAUUUCUUAUGGAGUGAUCUAAUUUUGAAUGGUAUUUUAAUGAAUGAAUAUCAAUAUUUGGUGCAUGUAUUAUGUAAUCAUAUGGGAAUAUACAUCUGUAAGACUGAUUGAAAGUGUCAAUACUCAUUUUAAACAUUUGACAUAUAACUUGUGUGCUUCUCUACUAAAUAGAGUCAAAUGUUGUGAAUAGGAACACUAUUUUUUUGAUUAUUUCUGUUCUGGUUGUUUCCCUUGAAUUGUGUGAAUUUUUGGAAUUACUAUGAAAUACAAACAAAACACAGGAUACAGUUCAGAAAUGUUGCAUUUAAUUCAUUAAACAUUAUAUUUUAAUAUAACAAAAGCUUUUUGUUUUAUUAUGCAUAUAUUAAAAAACUUAAGGUGGCAGGGGAUAUAUCAGUGAAAGGGGGGUCCAUGAAAAUUACAUAUCUUUAGGGUAGGUGUUACCUAUGGUCUUUAAAAAUCAAUUAGGUAUUUAUAAGAUGUAUUUCUUGUGUUAGGUUGUAGAAAGAAUGUCUCAAAAUUUUGGAAAAAAACAUUACAACUAGCCACAGCUCCCUAGCAAGGAAAUUUUGAAUCUUCAAAAAGGAGGUUUUCACUUUUGUCGGAAGUCAAUAUUUCACGCUGCAGAAACAGAACAAAAUUUUGAAGGUAAAUUGUGAAAAAUCUAAACGUAUGGGAGACACUUUU